rnacentral:rRNA from 1 species
UGCCUGGCGGCUGUAGCGCGGUGGUCCCACCUGACCCCAUGCCGAACUCAGAAGUGAAACGCCGUAGCGCCGAUGGUAGUGUGGGGUCUCCCCAUGCGAGAGUAGGGAACUGCCAGGCAUU